AAACCCGGACCGUUUCUAUGGUUACUACUUGUACACAAAGAGAUGGCGGCUGAAACUGGGGAGAAAUGUGCUAGUUUCACACCUUGCCAGACUGCAACCAUGCUUGAGGAAUCUGAGCCAAGACCCCAAACAGGGUUAGACCCGUCCAUGAACCGUCAUCGACCUGCAUCAGAAAAAACACAGGACAUUUCACAUUUAUUGGCAAGCAUCUUCAAGGAUCUCUACACAACAGAGAUUAUUGGGAAAGACACAGUUGCCAUUCUCACCAAGACAAGAAGGGGAGGCAACAACUACCAUGACAAAUAUGUGGAGGA